rnacentral:lncRNA from 1 species
AGGCCAUUCUGAGGUCAACUGAAACCUCACUUGAGGGGCAGUUCCGUAGAUGGGAAUGAGGAGAGAGUCAUGGCCACAGCCACCUGGCCAAGGAGAGAGGCCAUAACUGCCAGACAGAACCGAGGAUGGAGGGGCUUCAGCAGCAUGAACAAUCCACACUCAGCGUGGGUCACUCUCUGGGACACACAUUUCCCCCUGGCUGAAAGGCUGAGCUGCUCCAGGGCCAACUGUGAGGAAGAAGAGACCACUCACCUGUAAUUUCAACAGCAACAAAAGACCUGAGGUUCCACCAUCAGAACUUCACGCCCUAAGGAAGAUGCAGCAUUUCCUGUAAAAUGCAAGUGCUCCCAGGCAGAGGUAGCUCCUGAAGACAUGAUCAGUUAUGUAUACCUUAGUGGCAGCUGAUUAAUAGACCCUUCCCAAGAGCCAGCUGACAGGAAGCACAUCGGGGUAAAAGGGAAGAUGAAAACUUGGGUGCCUGGAGGAAGGGAACAAAUGCGAGCAGGAGCAUGGUAAUAACAUAGGUA